rnacentral:rRNA from 1 species
GAUGAACGCUAGCGGCAGGCCUAAUACAUGCAAGUCGAGGGGUAUAGGAGAGCUUGCUUUCCUAGAGACCGGCGCACGGGUGCGUAACGCGUAUGCAACCUACCUUCUUCAGGGGGAUAGCCUCUCGAAAGAGAGAUUAACACCGCAUAACAUUAUUGAAUGGCACCAUUUAAUAAUCAAAUAUUUAUAGGAAGAAGAUGGGCAUGCGUGACAUUAGUUAGUUGGCGGGUAACGGCCCACCAAGACCACGAUGUCUAGGGGAUCUGAGAGGAUGACCCCCACACUGGUACUGAGACGCGGACCAGACUCCUACGGGAGGCAGCAGUAAGGAAUAUUGGUCAAUGGGGGGCAACCCUGAACCAGCCAUGCCGCGUGCAGGAAGACGGUGCUCUGCAUUGUAAACUGCUUUUGCCAGGGGAUAAAAUUUCCAUGCGUGGAAAACUGAAGGUACCUAGUGAAUAAGCCACGGCUAACUACGUGCCAGCAGCCGCGGUAA